rnacentral:rRNA from 2 species
UCGAACGAGUUCUCGUUGAUGAUCGGUGCUUGCACCGAGAUUCAACAUGGAAUGAGUGGCGGACGGGUGAGUAACACGUGGGUAACCUGCCCUUAAGUGGGGGAUAACAUUUGGAAACAGAUGCUAAUACCGCAUAGAUCCAAGAACCGCAUGGUUCUUGGCUGAAAGAUGGCGUAAGCUAUCGCUUUUGGAUGGACCCGCGGCGUAUUAGCUAGUUGGUGAGGUAAUGGCUCACCAAGGCGAUGAUACGUAGCCGAACUGAGAGGUUGAUCGGCCACAUUGGGACUGAGACACGGCCCAAACUCCUACGGGAGGCAGCAGUAGGGAAUCUUCCACAAUGGACGCAAGUCUGAUGGAGCAACGCCGCGUGAGUGAAGAAGGCUUUCGGGUCGUAAAACUCUGUUGUUGGAGAAGAAUGGUCGGCAGAGUAACUGUUGCCGGCGUGACGGUAUCCAACCAGAAAGCCACGGCUAACUACGUGCCAGCAGCCGCGGUAAUACGUAGGUGGCAAGCGUUAUCCGGAUUUAUUGGGCGU